UACGGGGGGAGCAAGCGUUGUUCGGAUUUACUGGGCGUAAAGGGCGCGUAGGCGGUCAGCACAAGUCAGUUGUGAAAUCUCCGGGCUUAACUCGGAAAGGUCAACUGAUACUGUGCGACUAGAGUGCAGAAGGGGCAACUGGAAUUCUCGGUGUAGCGGUGAAAUGCGUAGAUAUCAGGAGGAACACCGGUGGCGAAGGCGGGUCUCUGGGCCGAUACUGACGCUGAGGAGCGAAAGCGUGGGGAGCAAACAGG
rnacentral:rRNA from 1 species